rnacentral:rRNA from 1 species
GUGGGGAAUAUUGGACAAUGGGGGGAACCCUGAUCCAGCCAUGCCGCGUGUGUGAAGAAGGCCUUUUGGUUGUAAAGCACUUUAAGCGAGGAGGAGGCUACUCUAGUUAAUACCUAGGGAUAGUGGACGUUACUCGCAGAAUAAGCACCGGCUAACUCUGUGCCAGCAGCCGCGGUAAUACAGAGGGUGCAAGCGUUAAUCGGAUUUACUGGGCGUAAAGCGCGCGUAGGUGGCCAAUUAAGUCAAAUGUGAAAUCCCCGAGCUUAACUUGGGAAGUGCAUUCGAUACUGUUGGCUAGAGUAUGGGAGAGGAUGGUAGAAUUCCAGGUGUAGCGGUGAAAUGCGUAGAGAUCUGGAGGAAUACCGAUGGCGAAGGCAGCCAUCUGGCCUAAUACUGACACUGAGGUGCGAAAGCAUGGGGAGCAAACAGGAUUAGAAACCCUGGUAGUCC